rnacentral:rRNA from 1 species
UACAGAGGGUGCGAGCGUUGUUCGGAAUUACUGGGCGUAAAGCGCGUGUAGGCGGUUCGAUAAGUCAGAUGUGAAAUCCCGGGGCCUAACUCCGGAAGUGCAUUUGAAACUGUCGAGCUGGAGUGAUGUAGAGGAUGGCGGAAUACCCAGUGUAGUGGUGAAAUACGUAGAGAUUGGGUAGAACACCGGUGGCGAAGGCGGCCAUCUGGGCAUUAACUGACGCUGAGACGCGAAAGCGUGGGGAGCAAACAGG